CAUAGCGACUAUCGUGGCAUAUCAAUAAGCGGAGGAAAAGAAACUAACAUAGGAUUCCCUCAGUAACGGCGAGUGAAGCGGGAAGAGCUCAAAUUUGAAAUCUUCAAGGUUUUACCUUGACGAAUUGUAGUUUAAAGAAGUGUUUUCUGUUGAAUGUUUUCGGUAAAAGUUCUUUGGAAUAGGACAUCAUAGAGGGUGAGAAUCCCGUAUUUGACCAGUUACUUUCCAGCUGUUGUGAUACACUUUCAAAGAGUCGGAUUGUUUGGGAAUGCAGUCCAAAAUGGGUGGUAAAUUUCAUCUAAAGCUAAAUAUUGGCGAGAGACCGAUAGCGAACAAGUACCGUGAGGGAAAGAUGAAAAGAACUUUGAAAAGAGAGUUAAACAGUACGUGAAAUUGUCAAAAGGGAAGCGUUUGACACCAGUGUUGUUUUCUCGAAAAUCAAUUAAAAUAAAUGUGGAUUUUGUGUUGUAUUGACCUUAAAAGCUUUCUUCACUCUUUUCAUUGUCUAUUUUUAAUGCACUUUUCGUUUAACAAGUCAGCAUCAAUUUCUUUUGUUGUAAAAGAGGUCAUUGGAAGGUGGCUUUCUUUUCGGAGAAAGUGUUUAUAGCCUUUGAUCUCUGCAACCGGAGAGACUGAGGUCUGCAGCGUAGACUCUUCGGGGUUAGAUACAUUUGUGCUAAGCUAUAGCUUUGUAUAGACAACUUGUUGACUAUGAUUAGUCAUUGUAGCUUACUCGCUUAUGCUAUUUUACCUACGCUUAGGAUGUUGAUAUGCAUGACUGAUAU
rnacentral:rRNA from 1 species